CGGCAGUCAGGCAGCGUCGCCGCCGUGGUAGCAGCCUCAGCCGUUUCUGGAGUCUCGGGCCCACAGUCACCGCCGCUUACCUGCGCCUCCUCGAGCCUCCGGAGUCCCCGUCCGCCCGCACAGGCCGGUUCGCCGUCUGCGUCUCCCCCACGCCGCCUCGCCUGCCGCCGCGCUCGUCCCUCCGGGCCGACAUGAGUGGGGACCACCUCCACAACGAUUCCCAGAUCGAAGCGGAUUUCCGAUUGAAUGAUUCUCAUAAACACAAAGAUAAACACAAAGAUCGAGAACACCGGCACAAAGAACACAAGAAGGAGAAGGACCGGGAAAAGUCCAAGCAUAGCAACAGUGAACAUAAAGAUUCUGAAAAGAAACACAAAGAGAAGGAGAAGACCAAACACAAAGAUGGAAGCUCAGAAAAGCAUAAAGACAAACAUAAAGACAGAGACAAG
rnacentral:lncRNA from 1 species